GUGACUGUACUAUUUAGUGUCAUUGUUUUAUAGAUACCAUAGUGAGAAAGGAUUCAUUUCGCAACACCUACGGCUUCCACUAGAUGGCAACGAUCUUUAUAAAGUUGUUUGAAGCGUCUAUGAUAAACAGAGAGCAAAUUAGAAUCCAAGGAAGUUGACAUGUCAUCACUUCAUUUUUUGCGCCUGCGCAUAAAUCUGAGAAACGUGAGUUUUGUCUUCAUUGUUUAUCUCGACAUAGGAUAGGUUGUGUGAAAAUAUUACUGAUGUUUAACGUUAAAAAUGGACCAAAAGAUUAAUGCUAAACAACAUUUGACAUGUUUGAACGAACAUAAAUAGAUUAUUUACUAGGUUUUUUUUAGCUUUUCGGCGUGAUUUUACAGUCCCCCACCACGUUUUGUGGGAGCAUAAUGAACGCUAAGUACUUGGUGUUAUUUGGACAUAAAUUAUGAACUUUGUCAAAAGAAACCACAUUUGUUCCGGACCUGUGAUGCCUUCCGGACCUGGGAUGCCAGUCUUUUGAUGGAGAUAAUCAAAGGGGACAGCGGGGAGAAAGCAGGUUUCUGCAGGGGAGACUCUGAGCAAGUCUCUGAGCAGGUGACAGGAAGAACGACACGUCGAUGGAAGUGAUGGGAUAGGGAGGACACCUGCAGCUUCCUCUCCAUUGACAGAUAUCCACCCGGGACACAUCUGGGUUCUCAGACAAAAAUAUCUCUGACAGGUUCAUCAGCUGUCCGGGUGGCUGGUCUCAGAUGAUCCUGCAGGACAUCUGAAAAACAUCUGAUCUACAACCUGUUGGGCACUGAAACGUGCACUCAUGGCUUCAGCAAAGAGAGAACUGGGGGGACUGUCAUCUGCAGCACCUUUAUAGCCUCUGACUGCCUUCCCCAUUAGUAAACAAUUCUUUCAAGAAAUGUUUAUUUUGUCUGAAAUUGUUUUUAUUUAGUCUGUGAACUUGAGUUGUGUGGGGUCAUGGAGGGGAGAUGCUGCACGUGCACAAGAAAGUUCAAUCAGUAGCACACAUCUCAAUUUCUCAUUGUGUGUGUGUGUGUGUGUGUGUGUGUGUGGUGAGUACACUAUUUUGUAACUGCCGUGUCAAAAAUGACCCUAAGACAAUCUUUGUACCCUGGUUUUGUACAGCUUUCAUGGAAAUAUGAACAUGGGCGAUGUUUCACUUUUUCUAAUGUUGGGGUCACUCUAGGAAAAGUCAUCAAAUUUAUUUUGGAAAAAAUAUAAUUUAGGGGGUUUUCUCUGCUGUUAAACAUAGUGGCGGAUCAUUUUUGACCCUUAAGACAACACAAGGGUUAAGAUAAUUGUAUGUGUGGGUACAGAGAUGAGGUAGUCAUAAAAAAUCAUGUUAAACACUAUUAUUGUGGCCUCCAGAAGGGUGCAGCAGUCUAAGGCACUGCAUCGCAGUGCUAGCUGCGUCACUACAGAUCCCGGUUCGAUCUCAGGCUGUGUUGCAGCCGGCCUCGACCGGGAGACCCAUGAGGCGGCACACAAUUGGCCCAGCAUCACCUGGGUUAGGGGAGGGUUGGACGGCUGGGUUGUCCUUGUCCCAUCGCGCUCUAGCAACUCCUGUGGCGGGCUGGGCGCAGUGCAUGCUGACACGGUUGCCAGGUUUACGGUGUUUCCCCCGACACAUUGAUCGGCUGGCUUUUAAGUUAAGCGAGCAUUGUGUUAAGAAGCAGUGCAGCUUGGCGGGGUCGUGAUUCGCAGAACGCACGGCUCUCGACCUUCACCUCUCCCGAGUCCACAGGGAGUUACAGCGAUGGGACAAGACUGUAACUACCAAUUGGAUAUCAUGAAAUUGGGGAGAAAAAAAAUCUAAAUAAUUAUUAGAAAUGAAACACUAUGAUUGCACACAGUGUGAGUCCAUGCAACUUAUUAAGUACAUUUUUACUCCUGAAAUUAUUUAGGUUUGCCAUAACAAAGGGGUUGAAUACUUAGUGACUCAAGACAUUUCAGCUUUUAAUUUUGAAUUAAUAAAAAUUUCGAAAAGCAUAAUUCCACUUUGACGUUAUGGUGUAUUGUGUGUGAAUCUGAAUGAAUUUGAAUCUGUUUAAAAUUCAGGCUGUAACAACAAAAUGUGGAAAAGGUCAAGAGUUGUGAAUGCUCUCUAAAGGAAUUGUAUCGGUUGUCAUAUUGAGUUCAGUAGAAUGUCUGGAUGGAUUUCUUAAUGAUGACACGUGUAUUUAUUGUAUUUACAUAAAUGAG
rnacentral:lncRNA from 1 species